CAGGAGGGCAGGGGCCAACCUCACGGCCCGUGAGGCGCUGAACCGUGCUGAGGCACUUUAAGACCUGCAGUGCCCCACCCCAACUGUUAAUGAGCUCAUUAACAGCCAUUGCCCCUCUCUCCCUCAUAUCCAGCUCGGGGCAGUGGGGUUCAGAGUGAGGAGGGAUUACUUCGCUGUGAAGAGCUGUGUGGACGGGAGUCUGCCCAGGAGCCCAGGGAUGAAGGAAAUCUUGGACAUCUUUUGUUGUGCCACCACUUGUUAUCUGCUGCUAGCUGGUGUCGGGGGACUGAAAGACAAGAUAACUGACAUGCAGAAUACCCAUGGCUCAGAAUGGCAGUGGACUUCUAUGAGGACAAGUUCUAGAAGGCAGAUAUCCCUGGCGUUUGAUUUCCUUGUCCUUAUGCUUAGAAAAUGGGAGUGAGACGAAAGCUCAAAACUGGGGAGAAAUACUUCCUUUAUCGUAUUUAUUUCACCGUACUGAAAUGAACAGUUGUAAAGGAGGAAGAAUGGAACAACAGCACACUCCUGAUUUUCUGUUCUAAUCUAAAUGCAGAUCAUCUGCUAAAAUAAUAAAAAGCUGUGUUAUUUAAUACAGAGUUGUUAAAAACAUUUAAAUCCUGUCUGGAUCAUUGUGCACAUUAUUAUUAUUUUUAAUAUUACUCAAGUGUAUCUCUUGAUACAAACAAAUGAAAUUGCUUUCAUGUAUAUAAAAUAUAAUUAUGCUCCACUAGGGAUAAAGCGGUAAACAGCAUGUAUCAGUGCUCGAGAUGCGUUGUUUAGCAUUUAAAAUAUUGAUUAAAGAUGCAAAUAAUCUGUUCUGCAUCAUUUUGUAGUAAUCACAUUUCUUCCUGGGAACACAGCCCUGCUGCACGUGCUCUGGGUUGCAGGAGAUUAAAGCUGUAAAUACAAUGGGCAGCAAUGCCGGUGUGCGUUCCUUGAAGCAGAGGCAACUUUUCCUCAAGGGCUGUUUGGAAGCUUAGGAAUGAGUUUCCCAAACUUUCUCAUUCUUAAAAUCUGGACAACCAGCAGGAAAACUAUGUUCUCUGUCUGCAGAAUCUGUGCUAAGUAUGGGUGCUAGAAUUACAAACAAAUGGGUCUCCUUCAGUAUUGGUACUUUAGCUGAAAAAUAGCUAUAGAGUUACAGUGAGUGUGGUAUUAUAAGGGGAAAAACAGCUCUGCUCCCAAAAGGGAAAUUGCCUUUCCUCCAGGAUGUCAGCAAAAUAACAGAUAACUGAGAAGCGAUAGAUAUAAUUUUGGGGGGGGGGUUUAAAAAACUCAAGAGGCUAUUAAGGAAGCUAAGAGUAAUCACAGAGUAGGACAUAAUGGACUUGCAUGGACUGGAAACUGAUUAAGAGAGAGAAACAAAGAAUGGAAUAAGUACAUUUAGCAAUAGGACUGAAAAUAAUUCUCUUCCAAAAUCUAAUGGAUUUUAUUUAUGGCAUUGGGUGAUAUAUUGUCAUAUUUACGACACCCAAGAUUCAGAUAAAUGGGAGGCAAAAAGUCCUGUCUAUCAAUCCAAACUGCUCCUCAUUCUGUUCCUUGCAGCUUCAGUCAAAUGCCAUUAGCUGUCAUUCUCAGGAAAUCUAAAUAGCUGGAGAUGAGAAAAGUUUUUAUCACUUGAUGCAUGAAUAACAUUUCUAAGUUCGUAAUUCAGGUGUUAUAGUCUUGGAAUUCAACAUUAGUUUAUUUAUUUUCAUUAUUAGAGCAACAGAUGGUGUAAUAAUGAAUAUGGAUUGAAAAAAAUGUAAUAAAAAAAAAAAGAUUAUGGGAAAAAGCACAACAAACAAACAAAAAACCAAACCCAGUAGAUUAUCCAGUAAAUGCUUCUGUUCAAACAGAAAAUUUUCUCAGAAAUGCUUCUCUGUGUUUUUUUGUAGGCGGCUUUCAAAUGACAGAAUUUCAUGAGCAUUUCCUGAGUUUUCUCCAGUUCCGUGCCUUGUGUUGUUAAGUGCGAGAUGUUAUUCUCAGACUUUGCAUUGUAAAACAAGAUUUGUUUCAUUUUCAGUCUCAAGGCUGUAUGUGUGCAUGUGAAUUCAUGCAUACGUGCAUGGAAAGGAAGGGCUGCUUGGCGUUUGAUGGCAGAAGAGCUUUUAUUGUUAGUGCACUUUACAACGGCUGCGACGUCUUGAGGAUGAUACAGAACAGCUGUCAAAAGUAUGAAGGGUAUUUGCAAGAAUAUGUAACAAUACAGUAGGGUGAAGAAUUUCCAAGAAAGAAUAUUUUGACUGAGUAUUAGGAAGAAGGGCUUUUAACAUGGAUUGUUGAAAGACACAGAAACAGUUGAUAGACAUCAGUUAAAGUUGCUAUUUCUCUGGAGACUGUCAGAGUUGGACAAACAUCCCCAAGGGUGGAUGCAGCAGCAAAACUAAUUUAAUUCCCAAUGGUUGUUUUGAAAUUUUACCUCUAUUAUUCUAAUUGGUGAGAUGGUUCAGGAGAAUGUGUUGUUGGGAUCUCUUUGAGGGUUGUCAGAAGAGGCAGAUGUGCUCACUGGGGCAGUUGUACGUGUCUGAAUUUCUGCUAUUAGUGGAUUCAAGAGAUUUAUGAUUUUUUUUUCCUUGAUGAACUUCUCAACUGUAUUUUUAAUCCCCUGCCCUAAGCCUUUCAUUAUUCAUAGCUUUGCAUCAACACAACUCUGCUGCUCUUACUCCAGGUUAAUCCAGUACUGGAGAUCUGGUGCCAGUGCAACAAAGGGGGUUAGACAUGGACCUUGGCAACUUAAUAGAGCUGCACUUCUCCUUUUAAAGCUUCUGUUGACCUUAGAAGUGCAAGGAUUCACUCAGUGUGAAAUGCUACAAAUUUAUUGAUUUUUGUCCUAUGUUAGAAGGUGAUAGUCCCAUAGGCCUUUUUAGGUUUUAUAUGGGACAGUAUGAAUUUUUAUUUGACAUCCUGUAAAAUUAUGUUCCUCUGUCUCUAUGAGGAUUGAACAGAGGGAGAGGAUGAUCUCUCACUGCACCUCAGGCUGCUUCUAUUUAAUGAUGCUAGGUUCCUUUUACUUAAUAAGGGACUUAGUACUAUCAAGACAGUCAUGCAGAUUUUAUUACAAGUGUGCAGAGAUGCUGCUUGAUUCUAUUCCUUGGACGGAUGAAUAGUUUUUGACGCAAAUCUUUGUGAACACUUUUGUUUUUAUUAUUUUAUAAAGAGGCCACCUAGUGCGCUAUUUCAGUGGAGAAAAAGUGUGUUUAUAUGUACCUAGGGAUGAUGAUUUGAUGUAACAAUAAUAAUAAAAUAUGCUGAUGUGAUCGUAUCAUUUUCAUUACAUAUGGGUGGAAACUGAAACUUCUGUUUCUGAUGAGAUACUGAUGAUGAAUAAUCAGCUCCAUAUCCCAGAGAGGUAAACACAAUCUGUGUCUGAAUGUAUAUCAAGGGAAAUCCUUCAUGUAUUUUCAUGAGUCUUUGGGCACGGGUGAUAUUCUUAGAUUCCUUUUCAGCAUGAUUCUGUUUUUAUUCAACGCACUCAUUUUUCUCACAGAGGUUGUGUUGGAGUAUCCCAUCCCCCCACUCAGCAGAGAGGGAAUGGGGUAGAGGGGAAAAGAAGGCACCAGAGCACAGUGGGAGGCUUGGGCUGGCUCUGGAAUAAUCAAUAAUGUUUGCAGCUAAGUGUUUAAUAUUAUGAAAGCAAUGUUGUAGAACUGGGCACUCAGCUACCACUUUACCUGAGAAACACAUUGCAGUUGCAAUGAUGCAGAUAGUUUGUCACAUCAUCCCAAUUUUCUACAUAGGCAUAAUUCUUAACAGUGAUGAUUAAUAUAUGCUAAGUCAUCCUUCCAUAUAUUUUUUUUAAUACUAACUAUUGCAAUGAGUAUUCCCAUACAUGCCUGAACUUUACCACCUGUAUCCCAGGAGAUAUUUUCCUAUGUAAUAAAACAAAUCUUGCCAUAAUGUAACAUAACACACACACACACAAAAACACACAAAAAAAGGUACGGUGUUCAAGUAGAUAUGUUAAAAAUGGGGAAAAAAGAGUUUUGAGUGGUAGAAGCCAUUUAGAUAGAUCAGUUCAUUAGUGAAACUCGGCAUAAUUACUUUUCCCUCUCCACUUUUCUUGUACAGCUGUGUGGUCCUCAUGUUAUGUUUACCAAGUUCUCUUUUUAAGUAGAAAUCCCUAAAUGAAUUUUUGUUUUUUAAAGGUCUGAGGUUCCUAUUAAUCAAGAGCAUAAAAGAUAUCACAGAUAAAAACAACUGAGAGAUCUGAGAGAAUUUUCCUAGUAAUUAGUCUACUACUAAAUGCUGCUGUGACUGUAGAAACUGAAGUAAGUUACAACAGUGUGAAAAUUAACUAUGAGAAACAUGUUGUAGUCAUACCCGGUAUUUGAGAACCCGUUCUACCAAAGUGAAUUUUUCAUUUUGAACAGUAAGUUUCUUUCAGUUUGAGUUUAAGGAUUACUAGAUAGAGCUGAAAGAAUCUGGAAAGUAGGUCAAUGUCUUAAACACAAAAAUGCUGAAAAACUGCCAAGAAAUACAUACGUUAGUUUUCUGUUUCAUCUUAUACCUGGUAGUCCUUAGUGUUUUUUUUCAGGGCUAAUAUUAUGCAAAUAUGCAGGCACUCUUUUAGCUCAAGUUAAUCUAUUUCUCCACCAUGGGGGGACUAUGGAUAUAAAACAAACAAACAGAAAAACAGACAAACCAAGUUCUUGGGUGAGCUGGGUUUCCUGUUGAAUUCUAAUUCAAAACAAGAUUUUCAGUUUCAAAGCAGUUCAGAUAUUCCUAGGUGACUGUGAUGUUUUCUUACUUUUUAAUUACAGAUUUGAUGAUGAAAACUUGUUGAUGUACUGCAGCAAUAUUUGAGGCUAAAAACACAGAUGCUGAAGGAAUCUCUCUUGUGUGCACUACCUAGUUGUCAUCAUGGUGUUUAGAAAUCAUUUGCAGAAUGUAAGCCAUUAAAAUGUUAAUGUUUAUGAGUUUGUUUGCUUUCAGUUGUCUGUUAACAAAUUAUUGGAAUUUGACCAUUUUGUUCCGAUGUUACUGCACAGCAUAGCCUAGAUAUGAAAAAAUAAUGCUUUUAUUAUUGUCAUAAACAUAUUUAUGAAUUAUCUAUUAAUAAGUUCACUUGAGGGCUAAGUUCUAGCACUUGGGUCACAAAAAGACAAUAGUUGAACUAGGCAGCAGAUGUAAGAAGGUGUUAAGUAUGCAUUCUCAAGGUUAGUAAUGGACAAUUAGUGGUGUAUGGGGGCAUUUGGAAGAUACCAGACAAUAAAAGAUAAAUGAAAGAAACCUCUUUGCUACACUAUAGUCAGAGUAUUUGGGGCAUAAUGGCCAGAUUCUGCAGGCCUAUAACUUUUAGGUACGACUUGCAUAAGCCUAAGAACAAAGAAAGCAGGUAUCAAGCAGUUCUUGCUUUGGACAUUGAUUUUUCUUUUUUUUUUCCAGAAAAAUGCUUUUUUUAAUGUUUCUUUUUUGGAAACAUACAGUGAUUUCCAAAUAAAAAGCCAAAGUCAACAUAAUUAAAAUAUUAAAAGGCAACUGUAAUACUUAGAACAAAUAGAGCUUACCAAAAGGAGAUGACAAAACUCCCUAUUUCCGUAGCAUGUCUUUACCCCAGUAGCACCUCCUCCAGAAGGCAAACAGUAAUCAUGAAAGAGUUUGAGGUGAAUGUUCACUUUCAGCCUGGGUAACAGAUGGCACUCAGCUACCUAUGACUAAUACAGAUAAUUUUUUCCUUUUCAUACUGUGAGCACAACAUGUUCCAGGAUCCAGAAAGCCAUCGGACACAGGCAAGUAGCCGUGCUGCUCAGAGGAGCAGUUCUUUGCAGACCACUGAGCAGCUGGUGUGUAGCAACUACUCUGCUUUAAUCUCCUUUUCUGACUUCCAGCCAUAGGUGCUUGAAUCUGGCAUGACUCGUUCCUUUGUCCCCGUGAAAUCCCUCCCUGAUUGCAGGGAAUUUCCUGAAACCAGGAGCGUAUUGGGAUGGUGUGGAGUCUCCUGCUGCUUCAAGAGCCCAUCCAGUGCAGCGGUGCUCAGGAUUUUGGUUGAGAUUCUAGCCAAAUGAAAAACACCAUAGUUUGUUAAAUCUGUUCUCUCCAUGCCCAUUGGAGAACGUACCCUUUAAUUGCUUUCUGGUAUUAUUUGGAAAGGAAAGUACCAACACUGAUGCUACAAAUGUCACAGUAUUUUUGACCCGUAGCAUAGCUGUUAUGGGAAGAUGAUGUGCUAGUAGAUAGUAGGUGAAUCUGGUGUUAAUCACUUUGCUUGAGCAAAAGGUUCUUUAUUCAGUGUAAUGUCACCAUAGGAUACAAACCAAAUCGUCCUCUAAAAAUGUUUGUGGUUGGACUUGAUGAUCUACAAGGUCUGAGCAAUUCUACAAUCCUGUUUCCAUCCUUCAUGUCCAUGAAUGUCAAAACUGUAAAAAAAAAAAUAAUAAUUCAAAGAAACAUAAGGUCACCAGAAGCAUGCGAGAUUUCCAGCAUUGAUACCAAACAGUAAAUUUAUGCUUUGCAUCAAAUAUGAAAUCUUUAACAAUUUGUACAGAAAUUUUAUACAGAAACCGUCCCAGUUAAAAGUCAUGCCGAAAAAGGAAAGCUGAAACGUUACAUCAAAACUUCAACCCUUCUAUUUCUUUUGGUGCCGUUGUUGGUUUUCAAAACUGUUUUGAAAGGGAGAGGGUUGCAAUCCACACUAUAAAAAUACCUUUUUCUCUUCUUACUGAUACUAAAGCCCACAGUGGUAUUGUAAUGUGAGUAAAAAACUGUGUAUUUUUGUACUCUAUCCUCACUUUGGUUCUUUUGUUGGCUCUUUUUCGUUAUUAUCCUACAAAUGGGAUUGCUGUAACGUGGAGUGGGAAAAAGAGAGGAAGACAGAGUGCUGCUUUGUUUUAUUUUUAUUCUGUUUACAGUUCUUAGUGCAAUUACACUUUGACCAGCGAAUGGGCACAGCAUAGGGAUAUAAAUAGUUUUAUUGCCAACUGCUGUCCUACGGGGGAGCGCUAACAGUUGUAUCAGAGCUGAGUGAAGGGCAGAAGGGAGGACAGAGAGCCCUGCCUGCAGGAGCUGUCUUGAAGGGUAAAGAUAACUGGCUGCAAAAUAAAAAUAUAAAAUUUUUAUAAAAAUAUUAAAAAAAUAAAAAAAAUUUAAAAACACCAAUAAAAAAACAUCCAGUUGUUGGAUAGCACCAGUCAGCACCCACUAUGUGCCGAGGUGCUGGAGAUUCCCAGCAGCAUCUGGUGGAUGUGCUCUGGUGCUGAUGUGGUGGAAGCCAAUUGCAUUUAGGAAUUAUUUUCUUCAUUAAAAUCCUUUACUAACUAGAUCCGUAAUCUCGGCUUAAAAACCUCCCAGUAAAAACUCCUGGCUGCUAUUGGCUAUGAAAUUAUACAAUCCUUAGUUUAAAUUCAUUAAAUAGUUAUGUGGAAAGGGGAGCAAGCCAUCUGCAAUAAGCUAAAAUUGCUGACACUGUGCUCAUAAUAGGUUCUUUCCCAGAGGUUUUUAUUGCAGUUAUAUAAGGAAUCAUUGACUUAUGAAGUUCAAAGAAACUUUCAAAAUAGAUUUUUUUUUUGUGUUAUAUUUUUGAGAGAUUUAGCAGGAGACCACAGAGAUAUUGUUCAUAAUAAUUAGAGCUGUGAAACCUUGGGAAAUCAUGCCUAGAGACAAGGGAAACUCUUAUUUACAGGAAGUUUGAAGAGUACUUUAAAAUAGAAGAAUGCAUUUAGAAUCCCAGUUAGAGUAGGCACUGACUCUGGAAAUCACUGCAGUUAGAUACAUUAGACCUUUUAUUUUAACAGUAGUUCGUGGGAAAAUAGUACGCAGAGUUCAGCCACAAAACCUUCACAUACUGUGCAAUGCAGUCCCAGUUUUGGGUCCUCUUUCCUUUAUUCCAUGGUAACUCCAUUAUGAAGCCAGGGGGAUUUAACUCCAGGCUGUAACUAAGGGACAUAGAAUCACAGCAUGGAGCAGAAGCUGCCAUCCAGGAUGGGCACCACAUUCUUGUAACCAACACUGCUGGGGGCUGCUCAGGUGUUGGUAGCAGAAUUAUUGUGCUGGCCAGCAGGGCAGAAGUGAGAUCCAGGAGUGGAGAAGGCCUGGGGGGUUUGUUCAACAUGAGAUAGAGGACAGCACUGGACGUGAGCUGUUUCCAUUACCCUUAUCCCUUUUUUAGUGGGCUAGUUACAGAAAAAACACCACUUGGGAUUUGAUGUAUUUUUGUUUCAUUAUUCUUAUGAUAGCAAACACUUUUUGCCUCUUUUUUAGCUCUGCUGUCUCUCUCUUAAGUUGGACAGUUGUUGCCCUGUAUUCUUCUCUAUACUUUUUAACCUCUUAAUCACUUGUCUGCUUAAUAUUUGCUCUAGACCAACUCUGUAACUCAACAAAUGCACCAAAAGAUCGUUUCUUUCACAGUCUGCACUGCAGAUGACAUCCUGACCUCUAGAGCAGCAGAAUAAUUAAUUUUGGCAGAAAAACACGAUUUCUACUUUAAAACUAUUGAUUCCUCCAGAAAUACUGAAAUGCCUUGUCAUUAGCUCCUGUUUAGGCAACUACAGAAAUAGUACAGCUUGGUCAUUUAUACAAGAUUAACCAAUUAAUGAUGCUUUUUUUUUUUCCCCUUUGAAAGAAGAGGCCCUGUGAGCACAUACACCAUAACCACUGAACAUCAGUUACACUUUUUUCACCAGCAUGCACAAUAAAACUCCUAGCCUGAGGGAGAAAAAAAAUCCAAUUUUCUGUUUCAGGAAAAAGUCUGAAUAGUCAAUGAACCUUGCACUGUGCCAAUACACAUUCACGAUCAGUUAAACUAAAUCCAGUAACAGCUGUAUUUCUUUUCUUUUCUUUUUUUUCUUUUAUGUUAAGAUCUACAGAUCACAGAAUAGCCUGGGUUGAAAAGGACCACAAUGAUCAUCUAGUUCCAACCUCCCUGUUAUGUGCAGGGUCACCAAUCACCAGAUGAGGCUGCCCAGAGUCUCAUCCAGAUGAAAGCAAACAACUCCACAGGUAGUUCAGGACCCAACAAUAUUAAAUACAAUUUAAACAACAGUUACAAGAACACAAAAAUCAGUGGAAUUAACAGAAAUAGAGUUAAAAGUAUCUGUAUUCCUUUAAAGUUUCAGUAUUUGAGAAUAUUUAAGAGAGAUGCUGUUUUUUCAGGUUCUUGGAAACAUUCAAGGUCAGGCUGGACCAAGGCCUUUUCCUCCCCGUUCUUCCCUUGUGAGACCCCACCUGCAGUACUAUGUUCAGUUCUGGGACCCUCAGCAGAAGAAAGAUGCAGAGGUGACGGAAGUGGUACAGAGGAAGACCACAAAGAUUCAGUUCUGGUACUUAUGAAGUUUAGAAUUGUGUGAGUGUGCCAUCAGUUAACCAUAACAUGACAGUGCCUGAAACCUUUGGGAACAUGUGCUUGUUGAUUAUAGAUGUAAUCAGUGCCACAAAAUAACUUGCUCUCAAUAUUUUCUGUCAGUAUCAGUUACUGCAAUUAUUCUUCGUGGAUUAAAAAUGCUUGAUAUAACUUUGGGAAAUGCUAAGGAUCUGGAGAAAAUAAUCUGCUUGAUGAUUAUGUUAUGUUAGCUCUAGGUCUGCUUUAAUGCUUAAUAUUAUAAAAGAGAAGAGGACCAUUAACUUCAGAGGAAUUCUUCAUAGUACUUGACAUGUGGAGGAGAGGUGAAAGUCUGUGAAUAAUUGCAGUCAGCAGUGAUGUGCCUGUCCUUUCACUCUUAUUGACAAGAGAGGAUUUGAGGGACACUUCUAUUAUCUGCAACUCCAACUAUUCUAAAGGAACUGCCAUAUAUUUUCCCAGAAUCUCUCCAGUAUGUCUCCACUUGCCGUAGUUAUCGUUAAGGCUUCAGUACUGGGAGUGAGAGCCACCAAGCUCCAGGUGGGAUGUAUUGAAAGCUUGCAUGCAGCUGAAGAGGCUGUGAUAGCCAAUGUGGCUGUGACCUCUGCCCUUGCCAAGUGAUUGCCUUGGUCACCACUCAGAUGGACUGGGGUCUCCUGAGAUCCUGGGCACUGCUCACGCUCCAGUCCUGUGGAAAAGGGGCUGGGUGGUGAACCUGAAGCAUCAAAGGGAAGCUGUAGGCUCAUGAUCAGGAAUAGCUCUGUAAUAAUUGAAAUAACACCACAGCGUUCUACAUUCCAUUUUUUUUGCUCUUCAAAUGUAGCCACUUAUUAGAUUGAAAGAGUUACUUCAGUAAAACCAGCCCUGCUAACUCAUGCUUAGAUCUUUAGCUCACACUUGGAUCUGAAAGUCAAAGAGUUUUCUUUCUGGUGCCCUGUCAUCAGUAAUAAAUGUUUUGCAACUCCUAACUUGCACCUUUCAUGGCCUCAUUGCCUUCAGUGGGUUGAUCAGAUAUAAUUAAUUCACUUUGGAGUUGUUUAAUGAUGCAUAAAAAGGAAUAGAUUCUAGUUCAAUCUCAUAACUGCUUUGCCUCUGAAAUCUAACAGGAUUAAAGCACCACUAAAAAAAUCCAAGUCAUUCUGUGAGCAGUGAAACUAAUGAAGCCAGGAUUCCUAUGGAUUUGUGUCUCUUGGUUGAUUGACUAUUUAACUGAUUUAUAUGAAGAUUAUGUUAUCUCUGCAUAUACCUAUAAUCCCUUCCUGUAGAAUAUUUUGGCAGUGACACUCUGGUUGCUACAGAAAUUCCCUAGUGGGAUCAGUAGUUAGUAGGAUAAAAUUGUUCAAAACCUUUCUCUUUUUCCUAAACCCCUACUUUUGUAAAAUCGGAACAAUUUAAUUCUUUCUUUGUACCUUUUGCUGCUAAGUUUUACUGGGGAAAAGCACAGGUAACCAUAAGCUUGAUAACAAGAAAAAAAAAAAAGAAACAGACCAAAAAAGUAAAAAAAAGUGUGUAUCCUUCAAUAUAAUCUACAGAAAAGUGAGAAUAAUGAGAAGCAAUCCAGAGACAUCUCACAGAGCAAUCUUGAAAAGAACCAAAAGGAUGACAGUAUUAGGAAGGAAAUGCUUAUGACUAAGACAAAGAACACUGUGCUAAGUCAGAUCAAGGAACUGGACUACAAACCCACAUUUUUACUUUUACAAACUCUGUUAUUUUACAAACCUUUGGGAAAUAGUUCUGUUCAAAUGGAAGUGGAAGCUUUGAGUUUGCACCAUGCAUGCACUGAAUAGCCAACAGGUGUGGGCUUCCUCUCUGAGCUGUCUAUAGUAGGACAUUUUUAGGAAAUACUGAUUAGAUCUUUAUUCAACUAUCAGAUUUAUUUGAAAUUGGCCCACAGGUUCCACAGCCAUUACCAGAACAUUUUCACAAGGUCUGUUUAUCAAAGGAGGAGGGUACAUCGGCUCCCAGUCCCUCACCUUGCAGGUCUGCAGAAGUGACUGUGCCCAGAGGAGUGAGUUGGUACUCACCUUUGGUGGCAGCUGCACAGGUGAAGCAAUAAGAGCGUUCCACCUAAAAAAUAAUUAAAUUCAGAAUACUAUUUGUUAGUUUUCAAAGUCCAAACUCUUAAAAUAAGGCAGAGGCUUAUAGGAAUCAUUAGAAAUACAUGAACUAUUUAGUCAUCCUGAUUCACUUGGCAAUGGUGAACCUUCAUCUGUGAGGCUAUGCCUAUGUGGGAAUAGAGCUAGCAUUUAUUUCCAUAUGAAACUUCAGAAAUGCUUGCUUUCACUAUGACCUUGGUCUCAUUCUCUAGACUUCAUUUGUUAUCCAAACCAUACCUAGCUGCCACUGCUUCAGUGUUUGAAAAUUCUUAUUUUAAAUAACUGUGCUCUUUUCUACAACUGAGAUAUUUUUAAAAAGGAAUGAUUUUCAAUAACUUCUCAUAGACACCUAUUUAGUUAAAAAAUUAGGUUUAGAAUUUGCAGAAUUGCAUAUAUUUCAAAAGGGUUUCUUACCAAAAUCUGUAGGCCCCAGAAAAUACACCAAUGCACCUGCCUGCGUGUUUACCCAGGAUGACAGAAACUCUAUUAUUUGUGGUUUUACCAGUUGUAGGGAAAGGCAAGGGCUGACAACCAGUUCUGAAUUACCCCUCCCCCCCAGAAAGGGUGACAGUCACAAUCCAGCUAAAGAAUGAAAUAUUUACUCACCCAUUACAACGAUAAGAGCUUGACAAAUACUCUAAAAGGAGGAGUCUCCACAUAGAGGCCCCUUCCUUGGGGCAGCCAGCCCUCAAAUGAGGCUUGGGGAGGGCUGGAACCUGGUUCUACCUCUUCUAGUCACGCAGAUGAAUUGCUUUCACCUGUGCUCCCAGGGCGGGCUGUGUCCCUUGACCAGGUGCUCAAUUAUUGGCUCAGGCCAUGACUUAGCAAUUCCCAUACACCAUCUGUAAGAGUAAUGCAUGUAUAAUUCGAGAAUGUAAUAAAUCGUACUUUAAAUGUCACUUAUUGCUCGUUAAGUUUUAGAAACCUUAAGCUACGGUAGUUCAAAAAUUCUCAAGGCAUUAUAAUUAUUGAAAACCAAGAACCAGGAAAACCAGGGAAAAAUCCAGUGCCGGGGCAUUCCAUUAAUCUACUCAGUUUCUCACAAUCAAGAACAUGAAAAGAAUUAAUGCGUAUGUGUUCAUUAUGGCCUGUGUAAAUACUUUAUUUUGUCUGUGUUAAAAAAUCUUAUCCUUUCUAAAAUAUAUUUUUGGAAUUCUAUAGCUAGUCUUAAAUGACACUUCUUCAAAUUUAAUAAUUCAAAUCCUUGCAUAUUCCAUGACUCAAUAUAAGAGACUUUCCAAAUGAAACCUUAACUAGAAAAUGAAUCAUAUCAGAAUAAUGUACUUUAUCAUGUAUAUUCUGGAUAUUGCAGUUUCAUUGCAGUUACAGCAGUCCGUAUAUUUGAGCUGUUUACAUCCAACUGAUGUAAUUUGGAGAACAUUUUUGCAAUUGCAGCUGAGACUAGAACAGGCAGCACGUGCUAAGUUCAGAAUCAUUCUUCCAUUUUCCUACUUCUGAUUCUUCAUAUAGGAGAUCUUUAGAUUGCAUUAAUGUGUCUUUUGUUCAACUAGAGGAAAAUUCAUUACAGUAUAAUUCAGUAAAAAUGGGUAAUUUUAAUCAACUCGGUCUAUUUCUCCUAGGCUACUAUAUUAUGAAUCAAUAGCAGUAAAUCCAUAGUUAAGACUCACAAGCCAUUGAGUAAGGAUUCAAUGACUUCUCUGUUUCAGGGUCUUGCAGAAAAUUAUGGAGAAUAAGUAAUUAAAGUUUAAUGUCUGACAUUCUUCUAGUCAAAAGAUGUUUUGUAUUUCUUUCAAAAAUCUGCAAUUAAAAAAUGCCAUAUAGAGCUUGUGACUAUAAAUGUUCAGCUAAUCCAUUUAUUUAUCCCUCCCUCAUUAUUUCUCUGCCCCUCUUUUAAUUGGCCUUUCCUCAAUGUGUAUCUCUGUGAGUGAAAUGCAAUGGUAGAAUUUCUGGCUUAGAGGCAGGAGGUGAAAUACUGUUCAGUGGUGGUUGUGUAAUGAUGAAUCUGUGUCCUUUAAUUCCAGUGCUUGAGGAAGCACUCAGAAGAGUGAUAGGUUUCCCUGCCAGACAGGAGGAGCUAAAAGCAUCAUUCAAGAUAUAUAUGUAAAUAUACAUGUAAAUACUAAAAAUGAAACAUUUUGUGUUUUCUACAUAAGACAAUUUCUGGGAGAACAAGUAGGUUGGUGUAAACUUGGUGGAACUUAAAGUGAGACUGGGGAGAACAAAACCUGACUAAAAUACAUAUCUUACAGAGAAUUUCCCUAAUUAAAUUGAGAAGUUGGCACAUUUGUCAGUCUUGAAAAUUAAAAAGAGAAUAAUUUAUGAAUCAUGGUAAUACCUGUUUAAUGUUACAAGUUUGAGAUAAAGCAUUUCCUAGACCUUCUGAAAACAGAUUUCAAGAACUGGGACUUGGAAUUCUUUAAAGCAAGUAACAUGAAAUUAUUUUAAGGUUACCAGCUUUUAAUGAUGAAGACCAGUGCAGUGCAAGAUGGACCAGUUAUGUUCUGUGUGUGUGUGUGUGCCCAGCAAGCAAUGAAUGAGUUGGACUCAUUGCUUAUGCUCAGUAUAACCACCCCCUUCCCAGCUCAAUUCAG
ensembl:lncRNA